GACGGAGGAGGCUAGCGUUGUUCGGAAUUACUGGGCGUAAAGCGUACGCAGGUGGCGAAGCAAGUCGGAUGUGAAAGCCCGGGGCUCAACCCCGGAUGUGCAUCCGAUACUGUUUUGCUGGAGUCCGGGAGAGGAGAGCGGAAUUCCCAGUGUAGAGGUGAAAUUCGUAGAUAUUGGGAAGAACACCGGUGGCGAAGGCGGCUCUCUGGUCCGGUACUGACACUCAAGUACGAAAGCGUGGGGAGCAAACAGG
rnacentral:rRNA from 1 species